rnacentral:rRNA from 1 species
UACGGGGGGGGGCAAGCGUUGUUCGGAAUUACUGGGCGUAAGGGGCUCGUAGGUGGCCAACUAAGUCAGACGUGAAAUCCCCCAGGCUCAACUUGGGAACUGCGUCUGAUACUGGAUGGCUUGAAUUCGGGAGAGGGAUGCAGAAUUCCAGGUGUAGCGGUGAAAUGCGUAGAUAUCUGGAGGAAUACCGGUGGCGAAGGCGGCAUCCUGGACCGAGAUUGACACUGAAAAGCGAAAGCCAGGGGAGCAAACGGG